CCUGGUACCAAAGAUCCUUUAUUAAAUACUCAAUAUAAUCAUGCAUGGUUUAUCAUAUUUUCUCGAUUUUACAGACUUAGUAAUGGACUUGUCCAUAUUUAUUUAUUUCCAUAAAUAAUUAGGAGAGCCUGGAGUUGCACCAAGUUCUCUCUGACUUGAAGAGCUUAUCAAUUAAAAAAUAAGUCAGAGUCAGGGUGACUCUGACUCUAGCCCAAUAAGUAGAAAAGGAUAUGAGAUGUCCACUGCUUCAAUUAUCUUCAGAGCAAGAUAACAACCAUUUAUUAAAGCAGGAGAGAAAGUAUCCUAUUGUUUAACUUCUGUAGGGACAGCGAUUUCUUGGAUUGCUUAGGUUUCCAACUUUGGACUCUUCUGUAUAUGUAGUGUAGAUUCAGUUGUAAAAUGUUGCUUCCUCUCUGAGAAAACUCUUCUGGUUCUACUGGACCCCUUCUAGACAGUACCUUGCCCAGGCAUCCACUCUCGUACAAAGGACACAAGGAAGAAUACCAGAAACUACUGAUUCUCUUAUUCUCAGAACCUAUGGAAGUGACCUAGAAUAGCCAAGACAAAUUGAAAAACAAGAAUAAGUUUGGAGGACUUAUGCAAUUGGUUUUAAAAAAUUACAGCAAACUAAACUAAUCAAAAGAGUGUAGUAUUGGCACAAUAUACACAUCAAUGGAACAGAACAGAGUAUACAAAAACCGAUGCAAACAUACAUAGUCAGUUGGCUUUUGGUAAAGAUUCCAAGAAAAUUCAAUGAGAACAAAACAGUCCUUUUAAAGAAUGCUUGCUGUAAUAAUUGGGUAACAGUUUGGGAGGAAAAAUUAAGCUCAACCAUUGCCUCACAAUAUACAUAAAACAUUAAUACAAAAAGGUGUUAUAGUUCUAAAUGUAUGAGCUAAAACUCUAAAACUUCUAGAAGAAAACAGAAGAAAAUCAGUGUGGCAUAAGGAGUCCUUGAAAAGAAGAGAAAACUCAGAAAUCAUGUUAGAAAAAUAUGGUAGAGAGGACUAGUUUGCAGCUCUGGACAGAGUAGCAUGCAGAGGCUUGCAUUGUGAAUUUUAGCUCCAGAUGGACUGCAAGAACAAAUCAGCAAUUCUCAGAGGACCUGCAGGCUCUCUGAAAGAAGCAGACAGCUCCUUGCAGGACACCCCAAAUACUGUGAGUGCCCCAGGUGCAGAGGUGGGAAAGGGAGACCCUCCUCCCCCGAACACACCCCACCAACUAGAGAAGCUGAAGGUCUGUUUGCGGGAGAAGUUUUGGACUUGACCCGGAGCUGAGUCAAGUUAGAGAGCCAGUGAAAUACAGGGGUAGGACAAAGCAGCAGAAAGGCCCUGGGAGCUCGCUCGGUCCCCAGCAGCCCAUUCCUGCCUGGCACCACAAGGAUCCAUUGGGAAGGUGGGCAGAGGAGCAGGGGGUAAAACUCCACAGGGAGAAGGAAUUCUCUCCCUUAACUUUGUAACAAUUUGAACCCAGUGAGAAACCUCCUGGCCAGAACUCAGGGAGGGCAGGAAUUCACAGGCAGGGGAAGAACCAAGCCCUUUUCUCUCACAGCUGGGAGGCGGAUAGCUUCAGGCAAAUUUUCAAGUCCUUCUCACCCUCUUCCUGGAAACAGACUUUGGGCUGUCGUGUGGGGUGUGGUGGGAGAGAGACCCGGCCCUUCAGUUUGUGUGGGAGCUGGCUGAGGCCCGUUACUGCUGGCUUUCCUCCACUUCCAACCUGCAGGACUCAGCAGAGGCAGCCAUAAUCCUCCUAGUUACACAAUUCCAGUGUUGCUGGUGAGGCAAAAUGGUGCAUUCACUUCAGAAAAUAAUUAAAAAGAGGUAAAACUGACACUGACUGAAACCGCAUACAGUAAGAUUUUCUGUUGCUUUAAAACUGGCAGAUAAAUCACAAUAUCCUGAAUUGUAGAACUGCAAAAUUCGAUCUAUAAAAAUUUGUCAAGAGAUAUAAUUACUGUAAAUAAAA
rnacentral:lncRNA from 1 species